rnacentral:lncRNA from 12 species
UGGACACUAGGUGCAAGAAAUAAAAGCCACCAGGUCUUGUGAAGUCAUAAAGAGAAAGAAGAGUCAGGUCAACCCAACCAGAGCUGGGCAUCACAGUGCAGACCUGAGGAGGUGGAAAGGGAGGUGGCAGCGAUGCCUGCUCGCCAUCAUGGCGAGAGAAGCUGCAAAGAGCUCUGGUGUCAGAGUACAACGUUAUUACCAGAGCUAGGAGCAGAGAGAGCAGAGAGAGGACAAGGGACUGGAGAGACAGGAGGAGGACUCUCAUGCACAAUGGGCAUAUCUACAGGAUCCCUGGCUGAUCAAGGCACACAGCUGGGAAAAUGUUCCUCCUUGUAUCUGAGACGCAACUGUCUUUAUUUUAUAGUUUAUUGGGUUUAAUUCAAUCUUUACUUGAUUGCUUAAGAUGUACCAAUAUAGAGCACAGAGUUAGAAACUUUGACUUGAGUUUUUUCUUAUUUUUCCCAAGGAAUUACAAGGAUGUCGCCACCCUGCAUGUUCUGACACGACAGAUCUUCCCCAGAACUACAACACAGAACAACAGACUGAGUCAUGCUUGAGAGGGCUCCCCACUGAAAUUCCCAGCAGGCUGGGCUGCCUUGCCUCACCUCCCAAGCCCAUGGCAUUGCUAAAGAGCAACUUGGUGUGUGCUAAUUUUUCAAACUGCCCUCAUGGAGCCAGGCAUAAUCUAUAUGUGCCAUAAAACACAGGGCUGGUUCAACCCAAACUCAGGACACAAGGCUCAAGCCUGGAGCUUGCAUUUGUCACCAACCUGCAGUUUGUUUGGAUGGGUGAAGUUUUGGCUCAUCACACUGAACCAUGGAUAUGCCUGUUGCCUCAAGCAGCUUUCAGAGGAGUGACAGAAAAAUGCAGCAAAGAAAGCUUUGACAGAUCCCCA